AAGCAGGAGGAGGCAGAGGCGGUCCGGGCCGGGCCUGACCCCUGCGUCCCGGGGGCACAGGCGUUCUUAAGGCUGCAGAGCCCUGGGUCCCCCACCCGGCCCCGGUUCACUUUGAGCGGUCCCAAGGCCUGAGGGCCUACUGUCCAGUCCCCGGGUUAUCGUCCUGAGCAAAGACAGACCCCGAGCCCUGCGGUCUUGGGGCUCAAACAGUCCCUGGAUGGCCAAACAAGCGAAUAUUCGCCAUGGCAGUGGGUGCUGGAAGGGUGGCUCACGGAGCUGACGCCCUCUGCAGAGAACCGUGGUCUAGUCCUGCGGUCACGAGGCCUAUCUGGGACAGUGGUGUUUGAGCUGAGACUUUAACGAAUAGAGACAGGUGAGGUUCCUGCAGCCCAGGGCAUCAGUGUGAACAACCCCAGAAGGAAAAAGAGUGCUGUUGUUAAAGGUAUCUGGCAUCGUGGACCCAACCAUCACCAGGAGUUUCUCACUUCAUCUCUGUGUGAUAAAUUUUGACAUAUGUAUACAUCCAUGAAGCCGGCACCACAAUCAAGAUAAUGAACAUCUCGCUUACCGCAGAAGUUUCCUGUGCCCUCUCACUCCUCCGUAUUCCUCCAUCCUCAGGAUUUCAUCAAAUGGUCUGCUGCACUGUGCUGGAAUUUUGAACUCCCCAGAGUAGUAAACAACAUCUUCUCAAGGGUAUACAAAUCAUCAGAUAGAGAAAACACCCAUUAUAGAGCUGUGGAGCCCUUACGAUAUAGUGCUAUGCUGCAACAAAGUAGACAGAAGAGUAUUUGUUGAAUAAUAAAAGGUAUCAAUGAAUGAACAAAUAAACUAAUGAGCUGAUGUAUUGAUUAAAUGAAUUUACUUCUUUCAGAUUUACUUUUCCAAACUAAAAAAGAUUGUUUUAAACUUUGUUCCAAAGUUAUACAGUUUUUACAAAAAUAAACAGUUUUAUUUUUGAA
rnacentral:lncRNA from 1 species